AAUAAAUCUCAAUAGAUGUGUUAUCUGUUGCAACAGGUAAGUGAUCAGUCGCAAUAAAUUACUUACAUGUUGGGAUUCAUGUUACGCUCCUAAAUAUCUGUUGCAACAGAUGAAGCGCCUGUUGGGAUUGAUGUUACAGUACUAAAUCACCUUUGAAGCUGAUUCCAACAGAUGAGUGACAUGUUGCAAUAGAUAAUUAACCUGUUGCGACAGAUGACUUACCUGUUGUAACAGGUUAGUAG
rnacentral:lncRNA from 1 species